GAUGAACGCUGGCGGCGUGCCUAAUACAUGCAAGUCGAGCGAACGGACGAGAAGCUUGCUUCUCUGAUGUUAGCGGCGGACGGGUGAGUAACACGUGGAUAACCUACCUAUAAGACUGGGAUAACUUCGGGAAACCGGACCUAAUACCGGAUAAUAUUUUGAACCGCAUGGUUCAAAAGUGAAGGACGGUCUUGCUGUCACUUAUAGAUGGAUCCGCGCUGCAUUAGCUAGUUGGUAAGGUAACGGCUUACCAAGGCAACGAUGCAUAGCCGACCUGAGAGGGUGAUCGGCCACACUGGAACUGAGACACGGUCCAGACUCCUACGGGAGGCAGCAGUAGGGAAUCUUCCGCAAUGGGCGAAAGCCUGACGGAGCAACGCCGCGUGAGUGAUGAAGGUCUUCGGAUCGUAAAACUCUGUUAUUAGGGAAGAACAUAUGUGUAAGUAACUGUGCACAUCUUGACGGUACCUAAUCAGAAAGCCACGGCUAACUACGUG
rnacentral:rRNA from 1 species